GACGAACGCUGGCGGCGUGCUUAAUACAUGCAAGUCGAACGGACAGGCCCUGCUCUUGCGGCGUGCUCGAGUGCCGCGCGGGUGAGUAACACGCGAGUAUCCUGUCCUUGUCUUUGUGAUAACUCUACGAAACACCGGCUAAUACCGCAUAGGAUAUCCUGCUCCAUGUGGGUGGUUGGAGAGUGUCGGCGGUUGGGGAUGGACUCGCGGGUUAUCAGCUUGUUUGUGGGGUAGUGGCUUACCAAGGCUUUGACGGGUAGGCGGCCUGAGAGGGUUGCCGGCGACAAGGGUACUGAGGUACGGAGCAGAAUCGUAUGGGAGGCAGCAGUGGGGAGUAUGGCACAAUGGGGGGGAGCGAGAUACAGAGGCGCCGCGAGCGGGAUAACGGCCUUCGAGUUAUAAACCAAUUUCGCAUGUGACGAAGCGGGAGUGACGGUAAUGGGUAAAGAAGCACCAGCUAACUACGUG
rnacentral:rRNA from 1 species